GCUCAGUAACACGUAGCUAACCUACCCUAGAGCCCGUACUAUCCUCGGGAAACUGAGGUUAAUGACGGAUACGUGACGUUUCCUGGAAUGAUUCAUCACGGAAAAUUCGCGAUAGGACGGGGCUGCGGCUGAUUAGGUAGUUGGCGGGGUAACAGCCCACCAAGCCAAUGAUCAGUAAGGGCUCUUAGCGGAGAAGCCCUGAGAGGGAAUCUGAGACACUAUUCCCAGCCCUACGGGGUGCAGCAGUCGGGAAACUUUUGCAAUGCACGCAAGUGUGACAGAGCGAGCCAGAGUGCUUCUCGUUUAGAGAAGCUUUUGUGAAAUGUAAAAAGUCUCACGAAUAAGGACCGGGCAAGACUGGUGCCAGCCGCCGCGGUAAUCCCAGCGGUCCAAGUCGCAGCCACGAUUAUUGGGUCUAAAACAUCCGUAGCUUGCUUCGUAAGUCUCGUGUGAAAUCUGGCCUCUUGAGGGUCGGGCGUGCACGAGAUACUGCGGAGCUCGAGACCGGGAGACGUCGUGAGUACGAAUAGGGUAGCGGUAAAAUGCGUUGAUCCUAUGCGGACUACCAACAGCGAAGGCACGCGACGAGAACGGAUCUGACAGUGAGGGAUGAAGGCUAGGGGCGCAAAGUGGAUUAGAUACCCAUGUAGUCCUAGCAGUAAACACUGCACACUAAACAUUGGAGCCUCCUCGAGAGGUUUCAGUGCUGUAGCGAAGGCGAAGAGUGUGCUACCUGGGAAGUAUAGUCGCAAGACCGAAACUUAAAGGAAUAGGCGGGGGAGUACCACAACGAGUGACGCGUGCGGUUCAAUUAGAUUCUACAGCCGUGAACCUCACCAGGAUCGACAGCAGAAUGAAGGUCAGUCUGAAGGGCUUACCUGACACGCUGAGAGGAGGUGCAUGGCCAAU
rnacentral:rRNA from 1 species